rnacentral:rRNA from 1 species
AUUGAACGCUGGCGGCAGGCCUAACACAUGCAAGUCGAACGGUAACAGGAAGCAGCUUGCUGCUUCGCUGACGAGUGGCGGACGGGUGAGUAAUGUCUGGGAAACUGCCUGAUGGAGGGGGAUAACUACUGGAAACGGUAGCUAAUACCGCAUAACGUCCCAAGACCAAAGAGGGGGACCUUAGGGCCUCUUGCCAUCGGAUGUGCCCAGAUGGGAUUAGCUAGUAGGUGGGGUAACGGCUCACCUAGGCGACGAUCCCUAGCUGGUCUGAGAGGAUGACCAGCCACACUGGAACUGAGACACGGUCCAGACUCCUACGGGAGGCAGCAGUGGGGAAUAUUGCACAAUGGGCGCAAGCCUGAUGCAGCCAUGCCGCGUGUAUGAAGAAGGCCUUCGGGUUGUAAAGUACUUUCAGCGGGGAGGAAGGGAGUAAAGUUAAUACCUUUGCUCAUUGACGUUACCCGCAGAAGAAGCACCGGCUAACUCCGUG